AGUGAACGCUGGCGGUAGGCCUAACACAUGCAAGUCGAACGGCAGCACAGUAAGAGCUUGCUCUUACGGGUGGCGAGUGGCGGACGGGUGAGGAAUACAUCGGAAUCUACUUUUUCGUGGGGGAUAACGUAGGGAAACUUACGCUAAUACCGCAUACGACCUACGGGUGAAAGCAGGGGAUCUUCGGACCUUGCGCGAUUGAAUGAGCCGAUGUCGGAUUAGCUAGUUGGCGGGGUAAAGGCCCACCAAGGCGACGAUCCGUAGCUGGUCUGAGAGGAUGAUCAGCCACACUGGAACUGAGACACGGUCCAGACUCCUACGGGAGGCAGCAGUGGGGAAUAUAGGACAAAGGGCGCAAGCCUGAUCCAGCCAUACCGCGUGGGUGAAGAAGGCCUUCGGGUUGUAAAGCCCUUUUGUUGGGAAAGAAAAGCAGCAGGUUAAUACCCCGCUGUUCUGACGGUACCCAAAGAAUAAGCACCGGCUAACUUCGUG
rnacentral:rRNA from 1 species